CUGAACAUUGAGCCUUGAUGUGUAGGAUAGGUGGGAGGCUUUGAAGCGUGGACGCCAGUCUGCGUGGAGCCGACCUUGAAAUACCACCCUUUAAUGUUUGAUGUUCUAACGUGGACCCGUAAUCCGGGUUGCGGACAGUGUCUGGUGGGUAGUUUGACUGGGGCGGUCUCCUCCUAAAGAGUAACGGAGGAGCACGAAGGUUGGCUAAUCCUGGUCGGACAUCAGGAGGUUAGUGCAAUGGCAUAAGCCAGCUUGACUGCGAGCGUGACGGCGCGAGCAGGUGCGAAAGCAGGUCAUAGUGAUCCGGUGGUUCUGAAUGGAAGGGCCAUCGCUCAACGGAUAAAAGGUACUCCGGGGAUAACAGGCUGAUACCGCCCAAGAGUUCAUAUCGACGGCGGUGUUUGGCACCUCGAUGUCGGCUCAUCACAUCCUGGGGCUGAAGUAGGUCCCAAGGGUAUGGCUGUUCGCCAUUUAAAGUGGUACGCGAGCUGGGUUUAGAACGUCGUGAGACAGUUCGGUCCCUAUCUGCCGUGGGCGCUGGAGAACUGAGGGGGGCUGCUCCUAGUACGAGAGGACCGGAGUGGACGCAUCACUGGUGUUCGGGUUGUCAUGCCAAUGGCACUGCCCGGUAGCUAAAUGCGGAAGAGAUAAGUGCUGAAAGCAUCUAAGCACGAAACUUGCCCCGAGAUGAGUUCUCCCUGAGACUUUAGGUCUCCUGAAGGAACGUUGAAGACGACGACGUUGAUAGGCCGGGUGUGUAAGCGCAGCGAUGCGUUGAGCUAACCGGUACUAAUGAACCGUGAGGCUUAACCUUACAACGCCGAAGCUGUU
rnacentral:rRNA from 1 species